CAGCCGCCGCGGUAAUACGUAGGGUGCGAGCGUUAAUCGGAAUUACUGGGCGUAAAGCGUGCGCAGGCGGUUUUGUAAGACAGGCGUGAAAUCCCCGGGCUCAACCUGGGAAUGGCGCUUGUGACUGCAAAGCUAGAGUGCGGCAGAGGGGGAUGGAAUUCCGCGUGUAGCAGUGAAAUGCGUAGAUAUGCGGAAGAACACCGAUGGCGAAGGCAAUCCCCUGGGCCUGCACUGACGCUCAUGCACGAAAGCGUGGGGAGCAAACAGGAUUAGAGACCCGCGUAGUCCCUGUCUCUUAUAC
rnacentral:rRNA from 1 species